CUCCAGGUCUGACCACAGGUAACACUGUCCCAGCGCACACUCUCAGCAGCGGUCCACACUCAGCAGCGGUCUAUACCACUCUUCCAGCCAAGAUGAAGGUGUCAAUACUGCUCCUGUGUGGCUUGGCUCUGACGGCAGCCCAUCCCACCUGGGACGUUUUCAAGGGUAAUUAUAAGCGGAAGUAUAAGAACUCAACAGAAGAAACGCGUCGCAAGAAAGUGUUCGAGGAUAAUCUCCAGACCAUCAAAGAUCAUGGGAAGAAGAACGCAACCUUCGAGAUGGCGAUGAACGAGUUUGGU